AGUUGGUUGGUUCAUUAAUUCAAAAAGUGUUACUCGUAAUAUAUAAUUCAGAAGUUGAAAUGAGUGUUAUAUCAAGGAACUUCUUAUAAUUUAUUUAUAAUUUCCUAUCUGCCAUAUAUUAAAAUAUUCUAGUUUCAAGGUUUCAUUGCAAAAUGAUAUGUCAAGUUAAAUUAGACUCACAAUGAAAGUUUUAAUAAAUUUUGUUGGGAGCAAUCCACAUGAAAGUUGAUUAAUGAGCUUAAGCAAACAUCAUAAUUAUUCAUUUAAUUGCAGACAUUAUAUUGAAGACAGAAAUUCCAAUUUCCACAAACACCAAAGAACUUUUCCACAAGACUUUAUAAAAUUUAAUAAAUAAAACAAUACUUGAAAAGUAAUUGAUAUAAAUUAUAAUAAAA